CAGCCGCCGCGGGAAUACGAAGGGUGCAAGCGUUACUCGGAAUUACUGGGCGUAAAGCGUGCGUAGGUGGUGGUUUAAGUCCGUUGUGAAAGCCCUGGGCUCAACCUGGGAAUUGCAGUGGAUACUGGAUCACUAGAGUGUGGUAGAGGAUAGUGGAAUUUCCGGUGUAGCAGUGAAAUGCGUAGAGAUCGGAAGGAACAUCUGUGGCGAAGGCGACUAUCUGGGCCAACACUGACACUGAGGCACGAAAGCGUGGGGAGCAAACAGGAUUAGAUACCCGGGUAGUCCCUGUCUCUUAUAC
rnacentral:rRNA from 1 species